AACAAAAACGACCAUGUAUAGUAAGGCGUUUUUAGACGAAAAAAACGACCAUGUAUAGUAAGGCGUUUUUAGCUGAAAAUAACGACCAUGUAUAGUAAGGCGUUUUUAGACGAAAAAAACGACCAUGUAUAGUAAGGCGUUUUUAGCUGAAAAUAACGACCAUGUAUAGUAAGGCGUUUUUAGCUGAAAAUAACGACCAUGUAUAGUAAGGUGUUUUUAGGCCAAAAAAACAACCAUGUAUAGUAAGGCGUUUUUAGCUGAAAAAAACGACCAUGUAUAGUAAGGCGUUU